ensembl:lncRNA
AAAAAAAAUACUUUGCUCUAUUAAACUAAACUUUUUUAUUUAUGGGUUAGGGUUUAAUCGAAUUUUUUACUUUACUACAAUGUAAACUGACAGCAAGGCACCAAACUGAUUUUUUUUAUUUUAAUCAAAGCAUUUUUAUUAGAUUGAGUGAUUCGCGCAUGCGCAUUCUUUAAAAGUUCUGGCGGAAACUUAUUUCCACCUCAAUCUUCCACUGCAGAAGACGUUGUGAAAAAUAUCACACCCACGGCAUUUUGGUAACGUUAAGGAGGCUGAGGUCCAUCAGGACUACGACGUCCCGCCACACCAACAGUUUCUUCCCGUCGGCAGUCGGGCUCAUGAACAGAGCCGGUCCCCCACUGACUACAACAUUCCACCGGUCACUCCCUUCAUACUGCACAUGCCACUUUACUGUCAUUUCUCACUCGUCACUUUGUUACUUGUUCGUUAGUGCACUUUAUGCUUAAUAUUUUUAAACUUUUAAAAUAUUUUUAAUUUUUAUCUCUAACUUUAUUCUCUUGUGUUACACUAACCCAUAUCCUUAUUCUACUAACCC